GUGAAAUUGUUGAAAGGGAAACGAUUGAAGUCAGUCAUACCAACGGGAAAUCAACCUUUUGUAGUUUGGUCUCGUGGGUUUUGAAGAGUUUUAAAAGCCUUCGGAUUUUCGAGAUUGGGUUCUUCUGGUGUACUUUCUCGUAUGGUAGGUUAACAUCAAUUUCGAUCGUUAUAAAAUGACUGGAGGAAUGUAGCUUCGACUUCGGUUGAAGUGUUAUAGCCUUUGGUAGAUGUAAUGAUUGGGAUUGAGAAUUGCAACGGAUACCCUCUGGGCUAUUCGUCUGAUCUCUGGAAGUUACCUUGGUGUCGAAAGCGUGCUUACGAUAUUAAGGUUGACGGCCAAUAGGUUAGAACGUGAUUAAAUUCGUUAAGGAUGUUGACGUAAUGGCUUUAAACGAC
rnacentral:rRNA from 1 species